ACUGUGGUUUCGCUCUGGUCUCAUUGCUGAGAACCAACCUCCUUCUCUGUGAGAAACAAUUUUCCUCUUGUCGGGGAGUGAUGUGAUCAGAAAUAUUGUAAUUCAGAAGGGAUCUAAUUCACAUAGGCAUGUGUAGUCCAGCCUGCGAGGAUGGCUGGAUUUUAUUUCUUUUUCUCUCACCUAAAACCGUGGCCCAACAAAGACCAACACAUGGAUUUCACAGACUAGGAUGAAUCGACGUUCUGAACCUGAGUGUUUUUCUGAUUUCCAUCGAGUUUGUAGGCAACGCUGAUGCGUCUGACCAUCACCACAAAACAAUUCUGAUCUCUUCCCAAGAAGAUUCCAUGGAGUGGACGGCAUAUGGUGAACAAGGUUACUACAGCAACGUGGGCUCAUCUGGAUCCUCCACUGGCGAUGAAGGUGAAAUCCCAAUGGAGAUAGACUAGCAUGAUUAUGAAAACAACAGUGUCAAGGAAAUGGAUGAAGAUUUGCUGAAAACUCUGCUGCAUUCCACAUGAACCUGCACAUCCCCACCCUAAUGCAGCUGGACGACUUAUAGCUUUAGCUUUCUUAUAGCAAAGGCAAAUGGAAUAAUGGCGCAAACAUUUCAAGACAACACAUACUUUUUACAAGCACAAUUUAGACUGAACUAAAGAAUUUACACUGGAAUAAUGAUGCUAAACCACCAUAAAAGCUGCUGUUUGAAGCAUUAACCCUACGUAGCUAUGCAGUAUUAAGAGAAUGAAUAACGUAUAUCUGAUGUCAGUUCUAUUCACCCAAUUUUGCUCCUUUCAUUAAAGUCAAAAACAUGAAGAAACCCUUUCUUAGCCUUUUACUUUUGUGGAACAGUUGUUGAAGAUCCACAGGUGGUGAAGUGAAUUUACCUGUAUGAUAACCUUUUGACUGAAAGCACAGGUGAUUACAGUUUCUCAAAAACCUUCUAUGGCUUUUAAGUCACGACAGCUAGUUUUACAUGAAUUUUGUCAAAAAGCCCAUCCCCAACCAGAACCGAAUGUAUUUGCGCAGUUUGACUUCCAUAACUGUGACUGUGACCC